rnacentral:rRNA from 1 species
UGAAUACGAGAUGCUACGGCGUCGAAGCAGUGUAUGUCAGACUUCCAAGAAAAGCUCGCAAUGUCAUAAAUAAAGAAUGCCUGUACCAUAACCGACACAGGUGGGUAGGUAGAGUAUACUAAGGGGCGCGAGAUAACUCUCUCUAAGGAACUCGGCAAAAUAACUCCGUAACUUCGGGAGAAGGAGUGCCUUCUUUAAGAAGGUUGCAAUAACAAGAUCCAAGCAACUGUUUAUCAAAAACACAGGUCUCCGCUAAGUCGUAAGACGAUGUAUGGGGGCUGACGCCUGCCCAGUGCCAGAAGGUUAAAGAAGUUGGUUAGCUUUUGCGAAGCUGAUGACUGAAGCCCUGGUGAACGGCGGCCGUAACGAUAACGGUCCUAAGGUAGCGAAAUUCCUUGUCGGGUAAGUUCCGACCCGCACGAAAGGCGUAAUGAUUUGGAUACUGUCUCGGAGAGGGACUCGGUGAAAUAGACUUGUCUGUGAAGAUGCGGACUACCUGCACCAGGACAGAAAGACCCUAUGAAGCUUUACUGUAACUUGAAAUUGAAAUUGCACUUUAUUUGCGCAGUAUAGGUGGAAGGCGUUGAAAGUAAUCUUGCGGGAUUAGUGGAGCCAUCAGUGAGAUACCACUCCUAUAAUGUUAGAUUUCUAACUUUGGAUCAUGAUCUGGUCAAAGAACAGUUUCAGGCGGGCAGUUUGACUGGGGCGGUCGCCUCCCAAAUGGUAACGGAGGCGUACAAAGGUUUCCACUGAACGGGUAGAAAUCGUAUCUAGAGUGUAAAGGCAUAAGGAAGCUUGACUGUGAGACCUACAAGUCGAGCAGGGACGAAAGUCGGUCUUAGUGAUCUGACGGUGCUGAGUGGAAAGGCCGUCACUCAACGGAUAAAAGUUACUCUAAGGAUAACAGGCUGAUCUCCCCCAAGAGUUCACAUCGACGGGGAGGUUUGGCACCUCGAUGUCGGCUCAUCGCAUCCUGGGGCGGUAGUACGUCCCAAGGGUUGGGCUGUUCGCCCAUGAAAGCGGUACGCGAGCUGGGUUCAGAACGUCGUGAGACAGUUCGGUCCAUAUCCGGUGUAGGCGUUAGAAUAUUGAGAGGAGCCUUCUUUAGUACGAGAGGACCGAGAAGGACAUACCUCUGGUGUACCAGUUAUCGUGCCAACGGUAAACGCUGGGUAGCUAUGUAUGGAGAGGAUAACCGCUGAAAGCAUCUAAGUGGGAAGCCCACCUCAAGAUGAGUAUUC